CAAUGCUUUCCUGCACGUGUCAACCAUUUCGGCAUCUCCAAACAUUUCGACUCCGGAUCUGGGCGUGGAUUUGAAGCUAUGGGUGCUCAGCCAGAUCUGCAAGAAAAGAAGGUUCAAGAAAAGAUUUUCCUUUUACACGCAAAACCUUUCCCUGUCAAGAUAUGGCAAUGCAGUAUGACUUGUAGUUCGAAAAGCUUCAUGAACAGUGAGAGGAAGCCGAACAACUUGAAGCUUUUUGCAUGUGAACACAGUAGUGGUGGUUGAAAUACCCAUAUUUGCCUUCCAAUUUACUUCAUCACUGUCCCAUGAUGCUUAUCACUGCUACCAUGGUCUCCAUGUUACAACCUUAUCUUAUCACGAUUCGCAUCGAUGGCUUGGAAGUGACUUUGGUUUGCUGAUAGUUUUGAGCCAAAAUACACUGUAGCUGUGUGCAGCACUUAAAAGUUUCUUUUGAAAAGGUUGCAGGCCCUAUGAUCGUUGCCCAGAGGGAGACUGCCUGCCAUCACCAUGUCAAACACCAGAAACCUGAUGUUGACACUAUAUAUGUAUAUAUAUAUAUAUAUUUUUUAUGAGGUGAGUCAAGAUCUUUGGCCCACAAGAAACAACAUGAAUUACCCUUGCACAUCUCAAGACCAAGACAGCCACAUGGGUGGAUGCAUCAAAGCACAGCAUCUGGGUAGCCUCUUCUUUAAGAGUGUCAAGGUCACAAGCAAGAGGCCCUAUGGUCUCAAUUAAGGCAAAAUUUAAGAUGCUCAUGUUGCGAAGGACGGCGACUUGAUCUCAUUAAGGCCUUUCUAUUUGCUAUACUUGUCGAAGAAAUACAACCUGCGGCCUGUCGCUCUUGCCUGCUCCUGGACCAUUUGAGGAUUGAAACAAGCCUGUAAGCUAAAACCUUGUGGCAAUGCAACCGAUUUUUUUUCCGAGGAGAUGAAGAUAAGGAUCGGUGCUCUCUCUUUCACCAUCAAACCUAGACAUUCUUAGUGGUGGCCAUGAAAUUUUCAUGAUAAGGGAGCAAUCACUUGAGGAAUUACAAGGUUGGCAUAUUCCUCCUAAUAGGAAGAUUGCAGACAUCUUUCUGUUGGGGAAACGAAAGCUUCUAGUUUGAACCAAAAUCGUUUCUUUUCUCAAGGAGUAAUCAUUUGUCCUUGUAUAAUUGAACCAAAAUCUCAGCUUAAUCUUGAAAACAGAGCCCAAUAUUUGCUGAAGCAGAUAAAAAUGAUGGUCCCUGGUUCCCACUGUUCUCAAGGGGAAUCAAGGGAGUGAGAGCUCUCACCCUCUUUACUUUAUGGUUGUAUGAGACACUUGUUUCUUUAAUGAUCCAUCUCUCUCCUUU